CGAGGCCGCCCUGGACGCUGGAGCCGCUCGCCCGCGGAGGCGGGCAGCCAGGAAAGACGUUUAUUUGUCACCUUCAACGGCUGCAUGGUGUUGGGCACCCCAGAUACCAGAGCUGCGGGGGCACACCCAGGCCUGGGAGCCCUGGUUUCAGCAGAAGAGCCGGCCAUGUGGGCACACAUUCUGAACAUUAAAACGUCCCUUUUGAUAUCUGAUGAAGAGUGCGUGUGAGCAAGGACAGCUGAUGUUCUCAGAGUCGUCCAGGUUUAAGGAGAUAGAACUUUUAGAGAAUCAUAACUGGACGCAGCUGACAUGGUGAAAUAAGUCAGUGGGGCUCUCCUGUCCACUCCUGAGAGACUGAUUUACUACACUCACUGCUUUUUCUGCCUCCUCUCGUUCGUCGCCCAUAAACUUUGUGCUCCACCCACUCAGGAAGAGUUGCUGUUUGCUCAGCUCCUGCCCUGUGCGUCCGCAGCUCAGCAUCUGUGUUGUCCGCGGCCUCUGCCACCUUCCUGCAGUUCACCAAUCCGCAUGCCAUCCCUACGCCUCUUGGAAGCAUUUCUGGGCCCUCCAAAAGCUGAACGUAUUCCUCAGCCAUUUGAAAGGCUACACCUUGCUGAAUGUCAUUACAGGGAUGAGUCAAUUCCCCUCUCUCAGCGUGGGCUCUGAAAACCUGGGUCUCUGCACCACUGAGGAGAUGAGCACACCAAGGACGGCGGGUGGAGAAGAGUGUGUGCCUCAGGG
rnacentral:lncRNA from 1 species